UAGAGAUUACACGAGACUGGAGAGUUUAACGGCUGUCUGCGUGAUCAUCGAGAAAGUGCAUCGAGAGCCCUUCAAAUUAAAAAUAGUGAUGGUGAUCUUGUCAAUGCUGAGAUUUUAAUGCAUCAACAGCCAUUACAUCUGUCUGGAUCAGGAUUGAACAAGAAUCAGACAGCAAGGGUUGUCAGAUCAGAAACGUAAUAACACAAACAUAAGAAACUUCACAGGGCUGUGACAGUGACAGUAUUUUACCACCGCGAUGGUAAUGCACCAAUUCACCACUGUGGUGCGGUGGUUAUAGAAUGUGUUUGUGUGAGGGGGGAGGCGGCAAUUUCUUUUUCCGCCGGUGGGUGCUCAUCACAACCUCAAGCUUUACUUGGCAACGCCAGGUGCUCUAGAGUCUGGAGCGCUCAAAGGCUUUGAAGAGGUGGAAAGUGGCGCAAUCACGUUUUCGUGUGAAUUGUGAAGUUAAAGGCAGAUCACCGUGCAACUUGGUGAAGUCAUGUGUCUUUCCAGAUGGCCAAAUCUGUACCCCUCAAAAAAACUUUAUUAAACGCCAUGAUAGACAAGAUGAGCCUUAAGAGGAGAUUUGGGAAGAUGCUGUUUCAUAAGUCUUUGCUUUGCCAGAUUAUCUGUGGUUGGGGUGUCUGCCAACGUGAUGCCUUGCUGGUCUGGUUUGAGUUUGAAGUCUCUCACAGACAGUCCAGAAGGUCUGGAGUCCAUCUUAGCUUUCAUUGAUGCUGUCAUCAUUUUUUAAGUGCAUGAGCCAGAAUGGACGGGUGGUGGUGGCCAUAAGAAGACUGUCAACUAAACUAGGGUGACCAUACGUGCCAUUCUUCCCGGACCCGUCCUGUCCAGUCUUUUGGAACUCGUAUUUGUCGACCGCAUACGUCACAGAGGAUUAUUAUUAUUAUUACAGAAAAGCAACCGUUACAUUUUAAGGUAAGAAGAAUGAAACUACGAUUGUAUAUCUUAUGUUUUUAACUGAAUGGCGUAUGCGGUCAACAAAUACGACUUCCGGAAGACGCACCGAAAUC